UCCGCCCCUGUCCCGUCCCUUGGGCGGUGCCAGGUUCCCCUGUGCACUUGCGCCUUCAUCGUCGGUUUACAGGAAAACACUGGGUGCAGAAGGUGCAGGCCUUCGCUGUGUCUUGCCCUGGAGACCGCAGCAUCAUACUGACAUUGAAAUCUGAAGUUGGCUAGUGCCUUUUCUUAGGGGCCUGGCAGCGCCACUGGGACAAGGGUUCCUUACCCUUGCUGGGCCUCGGUUUCCUCAUCUGUGAAAGGAUAGUGUGAGGGCCUUCAGAGGAACAUGGCACAUUACAGAGAAAUGAGGGGGCAGGGGGCAGCGUGGAUCCUGAACAGACAGAGCCUGGGCCAAGCCGAGGGAAGAUCAGCUGAUGUGAGCCAGGCCUCCACACACAUCACUUCCAGGAUCUCCUGUGAGGCCCGGAGUACUGCCAAGGUGAUGACGGAUGUGCCUCCUCCUGGGUCAGCUUCAGGUGAAGUCAUCCGUUCCCUCUGCACUCCAUCAGGACCUGUUCCUGGGAUUUCUGAGUCAUUCGAGAGUUUAUAACAUCACUUUAGGAACCAGAAAUAUUGUGGGAAUGGCUCCGUAAAGGAGGUGCUUAGCCUGCGCCUUCAUGCUGAAAGAGGCUCUUGAGACUGAGCCAAGAAGACUGGCCAGAAAAAUUCAACAGCCUAUAGAGAAUUGAAGGGUACGGGGUGGGGAGGGGGUGCAGUUGCUAAGACCCGUGGCUACUGCAAAAUCAAGUCCAUGUCUAACAAGUGUUUCCACGCUCUCCAGGGAAUGCUAUGUGUGAGUGUUCUUGCAGCUUACAAGAAAGUGUCAUAGUCUUGCACAUGGCUACAUUUGGUGACUGCUAAUGGCAGGAAGAUGUGUGCCUUCGGCUGUCCUGCAGAGAUUGUUACUAUCAUUGCUGAUAUUCUACCUUUAGAAGACGGCGUGGUGGUUUGAUUAAGAAUGCCCCCCAUAGGCUCUGAUAUUUGCAGAUAUUUUAGUCCGGGGAGUGGCACUGCUUUAGAAGGACAAGGAGGCGCAGACUUGUUAGAGGGAGUGUGCUGCAGAGGGCAGGCUUGGAGGUUUCAGAAGCCUACACUCAGCCCAGGGUCUUUCUCUCUCCACAAGAUGCCUACCAAUCAGGAUGUAGCUCUGUUGUGGUAAAUAGUAUUUGGGUUUUUUUUUUCCUAUCUUAGAUUCUUUAGCUCCCAAAUAAAAGACACAAAACCUUUAUCUUUAUAAUAAGCCUUAAAGCUGGGCAAGAUACCUACCCUCUGUGCUAUUUUGUCUACCUCCCUGAGACAUCACUUGUCAUGUUCUGCUGGGGCCGCUCCUAAUCCAACAGACCAGCCCUCAUGGCCAAGCACUCAUGAUCCACCUGCCCCAUGGACCUUUCUUGCUUUUUCCUUUCUCCCUUUCUCUUUGUCGUCUCUGCCUACCUUUCUUCUGCCCAACUACAGAAGUGGGUGUCUUUAUAAUCAAUAGUUUUUAAUUAAGGAGCAAGAUUUGCACAACAAAAGUUGGCGUUGUUGUAAGAAUUCACAAGUUGAGGCAACUAGACCUAGGGAUGAAGAAUUUAACAUGGCAAUACACAGCAACUGGCCAAACCUCAACCUAGCUCCAGCCACAUGCUCCAGCCACAUGCUGGCCUGCUGCCAUGCUCCCUGCCGUGAUAAUGGACUAAGCCUUAGAAACUGUAAGCAAGCAGUUUGUAAGUCUGUAAACUGUAAGCAAACUGUAAGAAAGCAAUGGAAUGUUUUCAUUUAUAAGA
rnacentral:lncRNA from 1 species